rnacentral:lncRNA from 1 species
UCUUGGUGGUAAAGUAAUAAGGUAUCACAUAUUUACUUUACCCGGAAUGUGUUCAGGAACGGCACGCUCUUGUGAGACAUUUGGAGCUAUAGGCAGUUUGCAUCGCAAGCAGCUGCAAAUGGAUUUCCUGUCAAGGAUCUAUAUGCAGGUCAAUGCGAGACUAUCUUUCAUCUCUGUUCAGUUCAAUGCAAAAGCUCUAAGACAAGUCCAUCUCCCCUUCAAGCGAGGAAUCUGAGAAAAGAAAAGCAAUCCCCGACACUAAUGAUCAGGAAAUAUAUGCUUGGAUCUCAUAAUAAGCUUAUUAAUGCUUUUGUAACAAAGAACUGUGGUCCCAAAUUCUAACAGAUGAUAAAUUCUCUCUCUCUUAAGGUAGGACAGAGGCGUUGCCCCUGAUUUGAUCUUAUGUUGCAGCUUCCAUCUCAUCCUGUGCCACAGCCACGCCAUUAGGCUCAUCAUCUGCUCGGAGUUGAGAAGAAACAUCAUCAAUUGCAGCGUUGAGUUGCGCAAUCUUCUCG